UACGAAGGGGGCUAGCGUUGCUCGGAAUCACUGGGCGUAAAGCGCACGUAGGCGGCUUUUUAAGUCAGGGGUGAAAUCCUGGAGCUCAACUCCAGAACUGCCUUUGAUACUGAGAGCUUGAGUCCGGGAGAGGUGAGUGGAACUGCGAGUGUAGAGGUGAAAUUCGUAGAUAUUCGCAAGAACACCAGUGGCGAAGGCGGCUCACUGGCCCGGUACUGACGCUGAGAUGCGAAAGCGUGGGGAGCAAACAGGG
rnacentral:rRNA from 1 species